rnacentral:snoRNA from 1 species
ACCUUCUCAAAUGAAGCCCCAUGCUAAAACUGCAAAAAGCAGGAUCACAUCUUGAUUUAAAGUUAGCAGAGUACACACAGGAAAAGCAGUAAGUGCAGUGGGUCCCGGAGGCUGGGCUGGACCUCGUUCUUUUUUUAAAUUAUUUUUAUUUUAUGUUUGUGAGAGUA